rnacentral:rRNA from 1 species
AUGGCUCUGCUAUCACUUCUGGAUGGACCCGCGACGUAUUAGCUAGUUGGUGAGGUAAAGGCUCACCAAGGCAGUGAUACGUAGCCGACCUGAGAGGGUAAUCGGCCACAUUGGGACUGAGACACGGCCCAGACUCCUACGGGAGGCAGCAGUAGGGAAUCUUCCACAAUGGACGCAAGUCUGAUGGAGCAACGCCGCGUGAGUGAAGAAGGGUUUCGGCUCGUAAAGCUCUGUUGUUAAAGAAGAACGUGGGUAAGAGUAACUGUUUACCCAGUGACGGUAUUUAACCAGAAAGCCACGGCUAACUACGUGCCAGCAGCCGCGGUAAUACGUAGGUGGCAAGCGUUAUCCGGAUUUAUUGGGCGUAAAGCGAGCGCAGGCGGUCUUUUAAGUCUAAUGUGAAAGCCUUCGGCUCAACCGAAGAAGUGCAUUGGAAACUGGGAGACUUGAGUGCAAAAGAGGACAGUGGAACUCCAUGUGUAGCGGUGAAAUGCGUAAAUAUAUGGAAGAACACCAGUGGCGAAGGCGGCUGUCUGGUCUGCAACUGACGCUGAGGCUCGAAAGCAUGGGUAGCGAACAGGAUUAGAUACCCUGGUAGUCCAUGCCGUAAACGAUGAUUACUAAGUGUUGGAGGGUUUCCGCCCUUCAGUGCUGCAGCUAACGGAUUAAGUAAUCCGCCUGGGGAGUACGACCGCAAGGUUGAAACUCAAAAGAAUUGACGGGGGCCCGCACAAGCGGUGGAGCAUGUGGUUUAAUUCGAAGCUACGCGAAGAACCUUACCAGGUCUUGACAUCUUCUGACAGUCUAAAAGAUUAGAGGUUCCCUUCGGGGACAGAAUGACAGGUGGUGCAUGGUUGUCCUCAGCUCGUGUCGUGAGAUGUUGGGUUAAGUCCCGCAACGAGCGC